AAUAAUAAUAAUAAAAAAAAAACAAAGCCUGAUCUCAUCUGACCUUGGAAGCAAAGCAAAGUUGGGCCUGGUUAGUACUUGGUUGGGAGACUGAAUGGGAAUACGAGGUGCUGUAAGCU
rnacentral:rRNA from 1 species